CGGACGGGUGAGUAACACGUGGAUAACCUACCUAUAAGACUGGGAUAACUUCGGGAAACCGGAGCUAAUACCGGAUAAUAUUUUGAACCGCAUGGUUCAAAAGUGAAAGACGGUCUUGCUGUCACUUAUAGAUGGAUCCGCGCUGCAUUAGCUAGUUGGUAAGGUAACGGCUUACCAAGGCAACGAUGCAUAGCCGACCUGAGAGGGUGAUCGGCCACACUGGAACUGGGACACGGUCCAG
rnacentral:rRNA from 1 species